AGAGGCCUGGCACGGCAUAGCACACUGGUAAAGGGGGAAGGAAAUAGGCUGCAGAUGCCAAUGUGAUGUGUUCCCCACAGGAAUGACAAGCUAACAGGCUGAUUGCUAUCAACAAUUACAUGCAUUAUCUGAAAACAAUGUUCAGCAUUUCGCUUCUGACAAUUCAGCCAAGAUGCUGCCAGAGAAUAAAAAAAAAAAAAUACAUUAAAUUUUCAGCCAAUGACAAGUUCCAUCCACUCUCGCAGCCCAGAAGAAAAUAAUAGAAACCUUUGUACAGAAGUGAAGUGAACAGAAGACUGGGAGAGUGAGAAGGGUACAGUGGCAGAAGUGCUAUACAGGCAAUCAAUUAACAGGGAGUCAAGCUGUCUCCUGCUACGGGAUAGCAAUGUAAAUAUCUACAGCAUGAAUAAACCUGCAUCUGUGUAUUGUA